rnacentral:ncRNA from 1 species
CGAAACCACAAGGGGAGCCUAAUGCUGAGAGUGAACGAGACUGUUCUGACCCUUUGAACCUGUUAGUUAAUGCUAGCGCAGGGAUGUGGAUGAUGGUGGAU